CGGGGCGUGGCGCAGUCUGGUAGCGUGCUUGAAUGGGGUUCAAGAGGCCGACGGUUCAAAUCCGUCCGCCCCGA
rnacentral:tRNA from 2 species